ensembl:snRNA
GUGUUAUAUGAAAGGAGAGAAAGUUAGCACUCCUCUUGAUUGGGAUGCAAGAGGUCCUAGUGGCCUUUACAGCACACAUAUGGUUAAGGUGUUACCACCUAUUCUGUGGCAUUUAGCCAUGCUUUUAU